AAUCUGGAUGAGCCGCGGGAAGAGUGGGGGGGGGAGGGGCGCUCCUCUUUGCAGGAGACCCUCCAUCGCCGCAGCCCCUUGUUGGGCUCCAUUUGCAGAUGGCAGUGGUUUGCAAGCUUCUGCAUGCAAAACAUAUCCAAUGCGCCUGAGAUAGGAUCAUCCUCCCCAAGAGCUGCAAAAGUCGUAAAUGUGAGAAUUGCUUGCAAGAUUACUUUUUCAUCAUUAUCAUGACUGUGAAUGGUCACUAAACAAGGACUACUGUAUGCUGUUGUUUCCUCCUGGAUAGAUUUUCCAUAUGGAUGCACCCAAGAAAAAAAGAGAGAAGCAAAAUAAGAGAAGAGUUAAAAAUAGAGACGGUAUUAUCUGCAGGGGCCUCCCUUUCAAACUCCAUAAACGAAACAAGAUGAUUACAGAAUAGAGACCCAUCUGGAAGCUGUUAUGCACCAUUGUUCAGCAAACAUAAAAAUGGUGACCGCACGGCCUGCUCUUUAGUGCAUUAGAGUCAUAUCCUGAAACAAGCAAAAUAGCAGCAAGAGUGGAAAUUCAAGCUUGAAAACUGGAAGCAAAGCAGACGACUUUAAUAAUAGGAUUCAAACUUCAUCAGAUCCGUCAAAGAACAGGACUUUCUUUAACCAGACUAAUGCAGACGAUCUAGUUUCAUCCAGGGCAGUCUUUGUGAUCCAAAGAGUCGUGCUUCGAAAAUGAUUCUAGAAAAGGGCUUCAGACUUUGCACACAUAUGAAUGGAACACCUUUGUGCCAUUUAUUAAAUCUGAGCUUUGAGGAGCACCCAACAUUUCUGACAAGGGAAACUUUUAAAAAGGCGGGCCGCUUUAAUGAGUAAUAGAGAAGUGCUGUGCUUGCCCUUGCAUCAGGUCUGGCACUGGUGAUGUUACCUAGUUUGGGUAAUGAAACGCCUGCAAGAAAACAGUCGAGCUCAGAUCCUUCUUUCCCCUGUCACACUGUGUUAUAAGUAGUUGCACUGGCUGAGAUUCGUGUUUUCCUGUAGCACUGUGAAGCAUACCGGCAAUUUUCAGUGCUUCUCUACUUUGAUGAAUUAUACAUUUAGCCAUUCAAAAGCAUCUUUAAGUGCCGCCAUCUUCCAGCACCGCUGAGCAUACCCAAUUUUAAGUGGACCUGAACUUGAUUAGUGCAUGUUGAUUGUUUUCAGAUUUUGUUUGCUAAUUGGGCUACUAUGAGCAAAGACACAUUUAUUAAGGUUGCGCAUGUUUCAGAAAUGAUUCUGGAAAAGUGCUUCAGACUUUGCAUAAGCAUGAAUGGGGCACCUUUGUGUUAUUCAUUAAAUCUGACUUUUGGGGAGCAUCCAAAAUGGCCGGCGGAGAACCUUUUAAAAAGGCAGGCUGCUUUAAUAAGUAAUGGAGAAGUGCAGUGUUUACCCUUGCAUGAACCAUCUUGUCCAAAUCAUUUUCAAAGCAUACAGGGGUAUCCUAUUGACAUGUAUGGAAUAAAGGAAUGCCCAACAUUUAGUGUUUGUCUCUUCUGACCAACAGCUGAAGAUAAUAGAAUAAGAAUCGGAGUAAGAACAGGAAAAGGAGAGUGGAGUGGUGAGUGGAGAAUAGAAUAGGAUAGGAUAGGAUAGGAUAGAAUAGAAUAGAAUAGAAUAGAAAUAGAAAUAGAAUAGAAUAGAAUAGAAUAGAAUAGAAUAGAAUAGAAUAGAAUUCUUUAUUUACCAAUUGUGAUUGGACAUAGAAGGAAUUUGUCUCCUGCGAAUAAGCUCUCAGUCUAUAUGCAAGCGAUAAGUGAUAAUCAUGAUCUUAAUUAUAAAAUACAAUCAUCACAAAUAAUGAUUUAUGUCGGUCAGUUAU